rnacentral:rRNA from 1 species
CGCGAAAGCAAGCGGACCUCAUAAAGUAUGUCGUAGUCCGGAUUGGAGUCUGCAACUCGACUCCAUGAAGUCGGAAUCGCUAGUAAUCGUGGAUCAGAAUGCCACGGUGAAUACGUUCCCGGGCCUUGUACACACCGCCCGUCACACCAUGGGAGUGGGUUGCAAAAGAAGUAGGUAGCUUAACCUUCGGGAGGGCGCUUACCACUUUGUGAUUCAUGACUGGGGUGAAGUCGUAACAAGGUAACCGUAGGGGAACCUGCGGUUGGAUCACCUCCUUACCUUAAAGAA